AGAGUUUCAGAUAGCAAAGGACGAAUCUCUCUCUCCAAACAUUUACAGCUUAGAUGGGGAAGAAAUAUCUACACCGUACAGGGCAGCAGUAACUCAGAGCGAGCCUGGGAAUUCACAGAUGUUGAGGUGCUUUAAGACUAAAUCUGGCUCAGGGGAAUGAAAAGAGCUGCCUUCUCACCAUGGGCAGUCAAGGCUGGCGUCCGCCCUGAUGUAGACGGAGCACCCCGGGGAGGGACGGCGGAGGCCAGGAGCUGGAGGCCUCCUGCAAGGAACUGCUGAUAAACCAAACCAUCAAGAUAAAUCUCCUCUCUAAUCCGGAUGCACAGCAAUGUCUCGUGCAAGGGAAAGGAAGCCCCCUAUGCUACCCCGAUGACAUCCAUAUAAAUCACAGGUUUUAUUCCUGUGCUGUGAGGGGCACUGCAGAUUGGAGCAACGUUGCAGACUCUCAUUGGGUGAUGCUUCAUUACUUGGCAGAAAAUCCCCAGGGCCAAAACGUUAUUUAAAUGUGCUAUGAAAAUAAAUGUGAUUUAUAUAUGUGUCGUCUGCUGAGACGUUCUUCUCUGUUACUGCAGGUGCUGUCGUGCAUCAGGAUUAGCGCCUCAAUUUAUUGCCAGUUCAAGCUAUACACAUGCUCAAUGACAGGAUGUUGUCCACAUCGCCAAAAGUUCCAGAAAGGAGACUGUGUUUGCUGAGUGGUGGGUUUUAGAUAUUCAGCGGUGUGGUUGACUUUUAUGGCCUGAGAAUGUGUGUGUGUGUGUGUGUGUGUGUGUGUGUGUGUGUGUGUGCAUGCUGGUGCAUGCUGGUCUUGAACCCAGGCCACAUUUUGUUUGGAGGAUGCACGGAACAGACACUUUGUACUUAGGUGCAUCAAUUUCCAAUGGCAGCAGAAUGGCGUUUCUGGUCGAAAGAGAAAGAAGAAAGCGCAAUCUUGAUUUCAGCUCAGGGCUGGGGCCCACAUGUUUAGCUCAAAGUGAGUGGAAAUCUCUGAAAAGCAGGUCUGGGCUAAUGAAUGUCAGCAGGCCUUCAGCCCAAAUGGGAUUUGAUUAGCAGGAAGGACUGUGGUUGGGAUGUUUCCAUUACCAAAGAAAGAUGCACGGGGAAAGGCUUGUCUUAAGUGGAAAAGAAGGCCCCAUCCAGCUGUCCAAGUGCAGCCUUUCCCGUGGGCUUUUGCAGACACUCUGAAAACAGGGGGCUGACUUUAGCCCCUAGCACAUGCCCCAGGGUGCCAGACCAUUGCUCCAGAUGAGAAAACUUGAAGUUGGGAGAGGGGUCAGGGUGGAGACUAGGAACCACUGCUGGAACCCUUGGUGGGCGCCAGGCAGUGUACUACAAAAUGUGCCACAUUGAUCCUCAACACAGCCCUGCCUCUGUGCCCCUCACUCUAAGAUGCUACAGACCUAAACAUCCCACGGUGUGGAACUCUACAGGCCUAGAGAAUCCAGGCCCUGUGCUUCCAGAAUCCCUCUUCUCUGGACAUUCACUUGACGGUAGCAACUCAUGUUUCAUCAGUCUUGUCCCUGGCUCCCCUACGCUGUGUUUCUUCAAGAUUAUGGGUUCUAAGUGACAUCUAAAGCGGGACCUACCUCCACAGAAGGGGCCUACAUCAGAUCCUUUUUACAUUGAUGCGGAUACCCUAGCAAAGGAACCUAUAAAUACACUCUGUUAGGCUGUUAUUUUAAAUAAGCAACAGUAACUCUGGAGGCCUAAAUAAGAAGCUUUUACAAAACAAGCUACCUUUUUAUUUUGAAAUAAUUUUACAUCCACAUAAAUGUUUCA